UCUUAUGUACAUCCCUACAACAUAGAGUUAAUGCACUGGAUCCCAUUAGAACUAUGCAGUUAAGCACGCUCGGGCUAGAGUAGUACUCGGAUGGGUUACCAUUUGGGAAGUCUUAUUGUUUAACAU
rfam:Picea glauca, whole genome shotgun sequence.